UAUUGGACAAUGGGGGCAACCCUGAUCCAGCCAUGCCGCGUGUGUGAUGAAGGUUUUCGGAUUUUNACGCACUAUAAGAUGGGAGGNAGGGCUUUAGUCUAAUACUCUGAAGUUUUGACGUUACCCAAAGAAUAAGAACACGACAACUCUGUGCCAUACGCUUGGGUAAUACAGAGGGUGCAAGCGUUAAUCGGAAUUACUGGGCGUAAAUCGGGAGUAGGUAGUUCAGUAAAAUGGAAUGGAAAUCCCCGGGCUUAACCUGGGAACUGCUUUCAUAACUGCUGAGCUAGAGUACGGUAGAGGGUAGUGGAAUUUCCUAUGUAGCGGUGAAAUGCGUAGAUAUAGGAAGGAACACCAGUGGCGAAGGCGACUACCUGGACUGAUACUGACACUGAGGUGCGAAAGCGUGGGGAGCAAACA
rnacentral:rRNA from 1 species